GACGAACGCUGGCGGCGUGCUUAACACAUGCAAGUCGAGCGGUAAGGCCCUUUCGGGGGUACACGAGCGGCGAACGGGUGAGUAACACGUGGGUGACCUGCCCUCAGCUCUGGGACAAGCCUGGGAAACCGGGUCUAAUACCGGAUAUGACUCCAUGACGCAUGUUGUGGGGUGGAAAGCCUUGUGCGGCUGAGGAUGGGCCCGCGGCCUAUCAGCUUGUUGGUGGGGUGAUGGCCUACCAAGGCGACGACGGGUAGCCGGCCUGAGAGGGCGACCGGCCACACUGGGACUGAGACACGGCCCAGACUCCUACGGGGGGCAGCAGUGGGGAAUCUUGCGCAAUGGGCGAAAGCCUGACGCAGCGACGCCGCGUGAGGGAUGACGGCCU
rnacentral:rRNA from 1 species